rnacentral:rRNA from 1 species
UACGUAGGGUGCAAGCGUUGUCCGGAAUUAUUGGGCGUAAAGAGCCCGUAGGCGGUUUGUCGCGUCUGCUGUGAAAACUCGGGGCUUAACCCCGGGCCUGCAGUGGGUACGGGCAGACUAGAGUGCGGUAGGGGAGACUGGAAUUCCUGGUGUAGCGGUGAAAUGCGCAGAUAUCAGGAGGAACACCGGUGGCGAAGGCGGGUCUCUGGGCCGUAACUGACGCUGAGGAGCGAAAGCGUGGGGAGCGAACAGG